rnacentral:rRNA from 1 species
UACGAAGGUGGCAAGCGUUACUCGGAAUUACUAGGCGUAAAGCGCAGGUAGGUGGUUUGGUAAGUCUGUUAUGAAAUCUCCCGGCUUAACUGGGAGGGGCUAAUGGAUACUGCCAGGCUCGAGUGUGGGAGAGGUAACUGGAAUUCCAGGUGUAGCGGUGAAAUGCGUAGAUAUCUGGAGGAACACCAAUGGCGAAAGCAGGUUACUGGCCCAAUACUGACACUGAGCUGCGAAAGCUAGGGGAGCAAAC